GAUUUCUGGCUUGGUGCGCGCCGUCCGCUGCGGUUACGUAGUGUGUGCGGUUGUGCGCCUGCCAUCUUUCUAGACAUCAUGCUGCGCCCUUCACUGGGUGGCAGGUGGUGGCUGGAUCUUUUACUUUGAAAAAAUUAGAGUGUUCAAAGCAGGCUUGCGCUAUGAAUACAUUAGCAUGGAAUAAUAAUUUAGGACUUCUGUUCUAUUUUGUUGGUUUCUAGGAUGGAAGUAAUGAUUGAUAGGGAUAGUUGGGGGUGCUAGUAUUCCGCGGCCAGAGGUGAAAUUCUUGGAUUCGCGGAAGACUAACUUAUGCGAAAGCAUU
rnacentral:rRNA from 1 species